rnacentral:pre_miRNA from 1 species
AGGGCCCCCCCUCAAUCCUGUUGUACUUGAUUCAGAGGGUUGGGUGGAGGCUCU